AAAAUAAUUUUGGGUAUCUUAUGAAAAGAUACAUCUAGAGGAACAUUUGGUUUACUGCAGGGCUUGUUUCCGCAUCCUUUUAUACCGCAGACGACCAUGAUAACCGAUCAGUUGCUAGCAAGCUUCUGUAACCGCUGCUUUAGUAGGGUAAACAAAAUGGCCGCUGAAGCAGCGCGCAAAAGACUGAUGACGUCACGUGAAAACGUGGUGCAGCUCGAUUAAAAUUAAAAUUCAUACACAAUUGCAUGCACAAAACUAUUCAUGUCUCAUUCAUAACCGUUGAAUACCGUUGAGGUUGGACGUACUUCCGGAAGAGCAGCGCGAAAAUGGAAUUUAAUGAGACGUUUGAUAUCAACAAUAUUACGGAUGGUGAUUGCUUGCUACAUAUGCAAGAAAGUGGUAGUACUGUUACCAGUGACAGUCAAGACAAAUUUACAAAUCAGUGAUGUUUGCCAGUCCUUGGCAAAUGAUAAGUGCUUGACAUCAAAUGACAGAACUUUCUUUAAUCAAGUUUACUAGGAUGAAAUUCAUGAAAAAAUCCAGUUUUCUCACGGCCAAGCCAAAAACCUGGAUAGGGAUCUGGAACAUCAGAACCCUAUGCUUCUUUGGGGUGAUUGUGAGAAAGGAGAAAAGAAGAUACAGGCUAACAGGCUGGGAUGCAAGAAGCUUGCUUUGAAGGAAGACAAUGUGUGAGUGGUUCUAGAAGCAGAUGGCACAGAAGUUGAUGAAGAAGACUACUUCAGUUUUCUUCCCAGUGAUGCGACUCUGUUAUUUCUUACAAACGACGACAAGUGGAGACAUGAGAGUUCC